UCAGUCACAAAAAUUUUCAGAAAAAAAAAGAAAGUCAGAGAGAGUGAGAGAGAUCGAGAGACAGAGAGAAAUAGUUAGAUCGAGAAGAGAAGUAGCUGAUGGGAGAGUUAGAUCGAGAAGAGAAGAUAGUUGAUAACUGAAGAUGAGGCUUUUCUUAAAUUGAUACUGCUGUUGAGUUGUGAAUAGAGGGAAGAACAGAUGGAGAACAUGGCUUUUUUCUUGGGAGAAUGGGGUUUGACGCAGUACGCGGUGGUAAUGUUCCGUCCAUCGAUGUUGGCCGUCUCUGCAGUCUAUGCAGCACAAUGCAUAUAUAGACUGAACAAGACCCCACUCUGGGACAAAACUCUUUAGAUUCAUAUGGGUCACUGGAUCUCAGUUAAUUAAUUUUGCAAGUUAUUGGUGAGCUUCCAUGCUGGGUAGCUGAAGAUAAGCCGAGGGUGGUGUUCCACAAAUACGCCAGUCCUAAACGUAGUGUCGCUGCUUUACUUGCCCCAGCCAAAAGGCUUUUGGCUUCGUGAUAAAGUAAUGGAGAAUACAACUGAAUUAUUCUUAAUUGUGUUAGUCUGUUUUCUACAGUAUAUUCAAUCUAUAUUUAUUAGUAUAGUUUAGUGUAAACGAUUGAUCAUUGGUAUAAUGACUAGUGAAUUCAAUGAGCUAUUGAAUGGAGAAAUUAAUUUGAACUCAUGUCCUUCUGAGUAAUAUAGAAACAUCAGUGGAUUUUCUAAA